GCCAGAGUCACCAUGGAAGGACAUCAGCUGGGAGGGCUGAGGUCACCUGGGAGGAUUCAUGUCAUUGAAGAGGGCAGAGGUGACUGGACAGGCUUCCUCUGAAGAAGAGGCUUCCUCAGGAUGCAAAUUCAUUUCAUGACAAGAGCCAAGUCCAUCAGGCACUUCAGCACCUUGUCCAAAAUGUCUCCUGAGACCACCAUCCUGCGUGUGAUGCUGCCAAGCUCCCAGGCUUUGGGGCAACCCCAGGAGGAGGGCGUCAUUUCGUGUUCUGAUAAGUGGUGGUGGUCAGGCCCAGGUGACCCCAGGAGUCCAGGCCCCAACUCCUUUGUGUCUCAGCUUGACCCCUUGACACCACCCCCUUGCUUGGAGGUUUAUGCCAGCGGGGAGCUGGAAUUCUACCUCCUAUAACCUGGUGGGUCACAAAUACCAACUUUAAAAGAAGCAACGACACCCCCACCAGACACCCACUCCUGUGAAUAUGGAAAUACGGCCCGGGAACCUCACUGCCGGGAAUACUCACCGGGUUAUACUCCGCAUAUGCCAGGAGUAUGUAGAAGAGUUCCCGCUGCCUAGGAAACAGAGAAAGGGGGCUAUGGUUUGGUUUGUGCAGAUGCUGUUUGUUUCACUUUGUCUACAAAUCCUAACAACAAAUCCCAUUUCACGUUCAGAUGAUUCACCAGAAAAGCAGUGAGCUCUUCAGGACCUGAGACUGUUGAAGAAAUGUUUCAGUAAAAGCCACAUCUGUGACAUGCAAAUAGCCCAGUUGUACAGAUCCUCCUGGGUUCCGGCCCCACAUGUUCCAGCCUGGCCCAGGGCUUGGAACCAGGGAAGUGCUCGGUUCAUGGUGCCGGCUGCUCCCUGGGCCAGGAGAGCUCUUGGUGGCUCUGUCAUCCCUCCUGGGUGACCCUGGCUUCUGCUCCGGGGAAGUCCCCAUCCCUCUCAUUCACCCCAUCUCCGCUGGGACCCUGUGGCUCCCGUAGGCUUACUUGGCUCCAUAUCGACGCCUGAAGAAGACAUGGUUCUGGAGAGUCCUGCUAACAUCCCGGUGGAUCUGAUGGAUGUGUUCAGAUGACCUCUUGCCCUUCUCCUUCAUGAGCUGUAGGGCAGGGCCAAGAGGAGGAAGCAGCCUCAGAACACAUGGAAGACUCCCUGCCCCAAAUGGCAGUCAGCCCACGGUCAGCACUUCGGGAAGGAAGGAAAGAAGGAAGGUUUCCUUCUGCAGAAAGCUGCUUUUUGGCUUGUUAUUGAAGCCAGGGAGGGUUACCAGAGCCGAGUUUGUCUGUGGUGACUAUGCCACCGUCCAUGCCCAGGAUGUGCAUCUGACCAUCCUCCCCCAUGCCCCCCAGGGUGGGUUUGAUGUUCCCUCCAGCUGGAGACCUGGGCCCCUGACACGGCCUGUCCCGUUUGUUGUGCUCUGGCUGAGUGUACCUUGUAUUUGCCGGGGUUUUUUGAUUUGAUUUCCUGAAUGUUCAGGAGGACUGACCAUGCCCGGCCCUGGAUGUUCCUGGGAAUCCCCUUGUAUGUGCGAUCUAUGAGCUGUGGGCAGAAAACAGUCUGGUGUUACAGGCCACGGGGUGACCCCAGUGAGGACCAGAGCCCGUGGAUUCUGGGAAUUGUCGGUUUUGGCCCCAUGAUUCCUCAGUAGAGGUGAGAUCGAGCUGGGACAGGGUCUCCCUUCCCAGGACUGAAAGAGUGGAUGGACACUCAGAGUCAAACUCUGAUCUGAACCUUUUUCUUCAUUCGGGUCACCAGGGCAUCCCUAGCCUUCAGCUCCAGGUGGUCCCAGCCCUAGAUUCAGAUUCCCUUAAAGCAAGGUGACGCUUGCACGAAUAGGCAGGCAAUCUGGCGACCAGGCCUGCAGUCCUCUGGGCAAGGACAGUGUGCCAUGCGCCCUCUGAGAGGCUGACGGUGCCAGGCCACAGCCAUGGGUGCCUGUCCCCUGUCUCUGCAGAGAGUGCUUCUGGGGGCCUCUCCCUCCACACAUUACCUUUUCGCUGUUCUUGUACAUCUCCCAUUUGCCCAGCAUCUCCAGCCA